AGCGGGGUAGAGAAGUCUGGAGUUCUCGCCGGGCCCAUAACCCGGAGGUCGGUGGUUCAAAUCCACCUCCCGCUA
rnacentral:tRNA from 2 species